rnacentral:rRNA from 1 species
CCUACGGGAGGCAGCAGUGAGGAAUAUUGGUCAAUGGACGAGAGUCUGAACCAGCCAAGUAGCGUGAAGGAUGACUGCCCUAUGGGUUGUAAACUUCUUUUAUAUGGGAAUAAAAUGGUCCACGUGUGGGAUUUUGUAUGUACCAUAUGAAUAAGGAUCGGCUAACUCCGUGCCAGCAGCCGCGGUAAUACGGAGGAUCCGAGCGUUAUCCGGAUUUAUUGGGUUUAAAGGGAGCGUAGGUGGAUUGUUAAGUCAGUUGUUAAAGUUUGCGGCUCAACCGUAAAAUUGCAGUUGAAACUGGCAGUCUUGAGUACAGUAGAGGUGGGCGGAAUUCGUGGUGUAGCGGUGAAAUGCUUAGAUAUCACGAAGAACUCCGAUUGCGAAGGCAGCUCACUGGACUGCAACUGACACUGAGGCUCGAAAGUGUGGGUAUCAAACAGGAUUAGAUACCCCAGUAGUC